GCCAGGGACCGAGCGGUGUCCUGUCUGCCUGUCUAAACAGGAUUGCCUGGAGACCACUCCGCAGCAGGUGUGUCCCGUGGGGCAGCCACACUGCUACAGUGGUAUCCUCAGGCUCCACGGAGCGGGCAUCAUCUCCAAACUGAGAGUUCAGGGCUGCAUGCCUGAACCAGGCUGCCACCUGCUCAACGGGACCAAGGAAAUUGGACCCGUGAGUGUGAGUGAGGACUGCAGUUGUAAGCCAGACACCCUGAUCUGUCA